rnacentral:rRNA from 1 species
GUGACAUACCACUUGUUGCCUCGGCGGAUCAGCCCGCUCCCGGUAAAACGGGACGGCCCGCCAGAGGACCCCUAAACUCUGUUUCUAUAUGUAACUUCUGAGUAAAACCAUAAAUAAAUCAAAACUUUCAACAACGGAUCUCUUGGUUCUGGCAUCGAUGAAGAACGCAGCAAAAUGCGAUAAGUAAUGUGAAUUGCAGAAUUCAGUGAAUCAUCGAAUCUUUGAACGCACAUUGCGCCCGCCAGUAUUCUGGCGGGCAUGCCUGUUCGAGCGUCAUUUCAACCCUCAAGCACAGCUUGGUGUUGGGACUCGCGUUAAUUCGCGUUCCCCAAAUUGAUUGGCGGUCACGUCGAGCUUCCAUAGCGUAGUAGUAAAACCCUCGUUACUGGUAAUCGUCGCGGCCACGCCGUUAAACCCCAACUUCUGAAUGUUGACCUCGGAUCAGGUAGGAAUACCCGCUGA